rnacentral:misc_RNA from 1 species
GAAAUGCGAUAAGUAGUGUGAAUUGCAGAAUUCAGUGAAUCAUCGAAUCUUUGAACGCACAUUGCGCCCCUUGGUAUUCCAUGGGGCAUGGCUGUUCGAGCGUCAUCUACACCCUCAAGCUCUGCUUGGUGUUGGGCGUCUUUGUCCCGCCUCCGCGCGCGGACUCGCCCCAAAUUCAUUGGCAGCGGUCCUUGCCUCCUCUCGCGCAGCACAUUGCGCUUCUCGAGGUGUUGCGGCCCGCGUCCAGAAAGCAAUCGUUACCGUCUUUGACCUCGGAUCAGGUAGGGAUACCCGCUGAACUUAAGC